UGAGCUGGGGAAUGUUCUGAAAAUUUAAUUUAAUGACAAUAUGCUUGCUGUACAAUCCAUAAUACCUCCUGAAUCCAGCAUGGGGCUAUUAAAACUGAUAGGAGCAUAUUAUCACCGAACUGAAAAGCUGGGCUGGGAUGGUUGCUGGAUGUCUCUACAGGGAAUGCUAGGGCCUCUUUGAAAAUCCACUAACCUUGAAACAAAGGCCAUCAUCUCUUGGUGCUCAAAUGAUUGACUGAAUUCAGCCUGAAAUUUGCAAUGCCAGCUACCUGGAUGAACAUUCUGGUGAUUUGACCUUUAUUUGUAUCGGAAAUUUAUAGUUGAUUUAUUACUUUAAAAGAUUCACUGAGAUGCAAUCUUAGGAAGUGCUGCUGAGGAUACCUAGAAGGGAAGCAUCACUGCAUGAGUCCUUGCUCUGAUCAGUUGCAACCACCACCUUUAUUUUUCCAAAAUGCAGUGUGCUGGAAGUUCAAGGGACCCCGACCCCACACAGAAGAUGGAGUGUACUUUAGCCCUGUAUGUUCUCAAGAGCGCGCAUGCAUGCAUGCACGCACACACACACACAUGCACACACACACACAGAACCAGUUUCUGCCAGUGGACAAUGCCAUGGGAAGGUCAGGAUAGACCUGGAGUUGCAUCUGUUUCCUUUGUUGUUGUGAUUCAGAUGUCAACUAAAGAUAUUUCUGUUUUUCCCAGGACUUUUCAGUGACAGUCUUUAAGGUAAUGUUUGCCCUGAACAACAAUGUGUGAAUUUGUGUUUUAAAUGACUAUUUUUAAUGAAUAUUUGAGUUCUGUAUUUGUUUUAAUCUUUGAUGUAAUUCUCUUGUUUACCCUUUGUUGUGUAUCACUCUGGGCUCUCUUGGAGGGUGAUUCACAAAUACAAUAAAUAAUAAUAAAAUAAU